AACGUGUUUUUCUGCAAAAAAACUCUUAUUAUGGACAGUCAUGUCUGCAUUUAUAGUGUUUGGGAGAUACGUUAAAGCUAGUGUGAGGCAAACGGGAGCAGAAUGUUGAAUAUAUACGGUUAUAAAGAUUGUACUUUCGCGUACUUAAGUCCAAAACAUCAGAUCAUGCGCGUAACUUAAGAAACGUGAGAGCAGCAUCAAAACACCGCGCUGUCAAAAUUAUGUAAACACUGUAAUGUCCUAUUGUUUAACUGCUCUUAGACAUGUUUACUUUUUGAACCCACCGCCUUUCUUUACACCUUUAUUGACACUCGUGUAAACUAGGCCCCAAGCAUGACUUCGUGUCAGCUUGUUUGGUUUAUUAACAGCACCUCACUGUGUCUCGCGACUGUGAUUGUAAGAGAAGUAUGUUUGAAUGACGUUAUUGUGGCCGUUUGUCACAACGUUACUCCCAUUCUUUGUAAGAAAGUUGCGCAAGACGUGAGACAAUUACGAUUAAGGCCUUGUGAUUUCACCGCGAGGUUGCGGUUGCCAUGGAAACGGCGGGGAAUUCUGUGCAGAAAGAUGGUUUUUGUGACAGCUGGCCGGUUGAUCGGGGAUGCUGUUGUGUUCAGGGUUGUUGACUUGGAAGAUGUUAACAAGUGGUGUGGAAUGUGAGGGAUAAUCUACGGCUUUAUCUGAGAAAGGCUAGCCUUAAGUUGUAGGUCAGCGUCAUCAGACAUUCAUCUGUCACUCACAGGUCACAUGGUCAACAAGAUAGAAGAUGCAGCUGAAACCAAGCAUGUGACUGAAUAUUCAAGGUCUGGAGAGAGUUUUGAAAUCAGACCCAUAUUAGUAAAUAUCUUGCUCUUAGUUUAUUGAUGUGAAUGCAACUUUUAUGUCUCAAUUAGAUUUUGUGUUCUUUAAAUAUUUUUAGGCCAUUUAGAAUUGCUGCUACAUACAAUGUAGGUUCAUAAAUGUCAGCAUUUGUUAUUUGAUUGUAUCUUUUAUUGGGCGAUCAAUAGCUCAAUCGGAUGUGAGUUUAAUUCCCAAUCCCAUUGAACAUAUACUAAUGGCAUAACACUGUCCCUUUGGAUAAAUGUAAUUUAAUCAACCUUAUCAUUCAUGCCCGACCGAGACAUUACAUUUAAUGCAAUUUGCAACACUUGUUUCACAGGGUUUGUUUGUCUACUGGGUAUGCUUGUUUUUCCAAACAGUUUGAUGUAAAUGUAAUGUCAGCCUGCUUCUGAUGGGUCUUAAAAGGCCUGAAAGCAUAGAGAGAUGUAAAGUAUCGAUUGGGCAAAGAAAGUAAGUAUUGAACAAAAAGCCUGCUGCAAGGAUAUGACUAAUUACCCGGUCUGAUCAGCUUAUAUUGGCUUUGUGUCAAAUGUUGGUGAGGCUAUUUUGAUAGUUCUGUGGCUUCUCCCUAUUCACAUAGUGGUUUUGUAUCGAUUGCAUUUUUCUGUUUACAGUUAAAGGAAUCGUUUCACGCUGUGCGUGAAAAUAUGAACGAGCCUGUUAAAGGAGAGGGAGUAAUGUGUUGGUGUGAGAAAGACUGCGAGUCGAAACUGUGGAGAGAAGUCUAAUGCAUCGUAGUGUCCCUGAUCAAGUUGCUCUUCUGGAAGCAUUUUUAGAUGGAUUUUUGCUUGCACUUUUAGAAAGAUGGCUGUGUAAAUUAAUCUCUCACACAACACUCGUUGUGUGUGAGUUUAUGUGCUUUCCUGGCCUCCUUUAGAGACACAUUUCUUUCUCAUGCAGGAAGUUUGGCUUUUCUCUGCUUGAGUUUGUUCCAAAGGCCAGGUCAGUCUAAACAGCUCUCGCUUUCUACAGGACUGAAUGGAAGUUGACGCCAGUCCAGACAGUAGAAUGCAGCAGAUUGAGCAAAAAGGAGAUGUUAAAACUAAACAUCAACAACUAAAUCUGUUUACUUUUGA